UCAACGGUUUAUUCAUUAGAUAUUGAGGUUUAAAUCUGUCAUAGGAAUUAGUAGGAUUUGGAUUAGGAUUUGGCUAGGGUUCGGUUUAGGGUUUGGAUUAGGGAUUGGAUUAGGGUUUGGCUAGGAUUUGGAUUAGGAUUUGGAUUAGGGUUUAGGAUUUGGUUAGGAUUUGAUUUAGGGUUUGGAUUAGAGUUUGGACUAGGGUUUGGUUAGGAUUUGAUUUAAGGUUUGGUUUAGGGUUUAAGAUUUAGAUUAGAGUUUAGGGUUGGAUUAGGGUUUCAAUUAGGGUUUGGAUUAGGGUUUAGGAUUUGAUUUAAGGUUUGAUUUAGGGUUUAGGAUUAGAUUAGGGUUUGAUUUAGGAUUUGAUUUAGGAUUUGGUUUAGUGUUUAGAAUUUGGAAUAGGAUUUAAUUCAAGAUUUGUUUAGGAUUUGACUUAGGAUUUAGGAAUUAUUAGGAUUUAAGAUUUAAUUAGGUUUGGUCUAAAGUUGAGUGAAAUUCAAUAGGAUUUUAACUAGAAUUAAAUUAAGGUUGAAUUGACAUAUAUUUGAGUAAAAUUUGUGAUCAUUCUAAUAUUUCUUUAAGAAUUUAAUUGUUUGUUUGAAAUUUCUUUGAGUUGUUUUGAAUUUGAUUAUGUUUGAUUACCAUUAUUAUAAUCUAAUUAGAGCAUUUUUAGUAUUCUAUUUAGGAUUUUGUUAUCGCAAUUUCUAUUCUUCUUUCUACAACCAGGUGCCCAGAGCAUUCUCAAGCAAGACUUCACACAUUACGACAACGUGAAGAUGCAGGAUUAACUGGUCCAAUAUAAUCUAUGUCCCAUUUU
rnacentral:lncRNA from 1 species